rnacentral:rRNA from 1 species
AGCAGCCGCGGUAAUUCCAGCUCCAAUAGCGUAUAUUAAAGUUGUUGCAGUUAAAAAGCUCGUAGUUGAAUUUCGGGAUCAAUAUUUCGGUCAUGCCGUUGGUAUGCACUGUUAUCAUUGAUUUCUCACCUUCUAAAGAACCGUAAUGCCAUUAAUUUGGUGUUACGGGGAAUUAGGACUGUUACCUUGAAAAAUUAGAGUGUUUAAAGCAGGCCCACGCUUGAAUACAUUAGCAUGGAAUAAUGAAAUAGGACAUCCGAUUCUAUUUUGUUGGUUUCUAGGAUCGAUGUAAUGAUUAAUAGGGAUAGUUGGGGGCAUUAGUAUUCAAUUGUCAGAGGUGAAAUUCUUGGAUUUAUUGAAGACUAACUACUGCGAAAGCAUUUGCCAAGGAUGUUUUCAUUAAUCAAGAACGAAAGUUAGGGGAUCGAAGACGAUCAGAUACCGUCGUAGUCUUAACCAUAAACUAUGCCG